AUUGAACGCUGGCGGCAGGCCUAACACAUGCAAGUCGAGCGAGCGGCGGACGCGUGAGUAAUGUCUGUGAAACUGCCUGAUGGAGGGGGAUAACUACUGUAAAAGGUGGCUAAUACCGCAUACCAUCAGAUGUGCCCAGGUGGGAUUAGCUAGUAGGUGGGGUAACGGCUCACCUAGGCGACGAUACCUAGCUGGUCUGAGAGGAUGACCAGCCACACUGGAACUGAGACACGGUCCAGACUCCUACGGGAGGCAGCAGUGGGGAAUAUUGCACAAUGGGCGCAAGCCUGAUGCAGCCAUGCCGCGUGUGUGAAGAAGGCCUUCGGGUUGUAAAGCACUUUCAGCGGGGAGGCGUUACCCGCAGAAGAAGCACCGGCUAACUCCGUGCCAGCAGCCGCGGUAAUUC
rnacentral:rRNA from 1 species